AUUGAACGCUAGCGGGAUGCCUUACACAUGCAAGUCGAACGGAGUGGCGAACGGGUGAGUAAUGUAUCGGAACGUGCCCAGUAGCGGGGGAUAACUACGAGAAAGCGUAGCUAAUACCGCAUACUAUUGGAGCGGCCGAUAUCGGAUUAGCUGGUUGGUGGGGUAACGGCUCACCAAGGCGACGUUCCGUAGCUGGUUUUAGAGGACGACCAGCCACAGUGGUACUGAGACACGGGCCAGACUCCUACGGGAAGCAGGAGUGGGGAAUGUUGGGCAAUGGAGGCAACCCUGAUCUGGCCAUCCCGAGUGUGUGAUGAAGGCCUGCGGGUUGUAGAGCACUUUUGGUAGGGAAGCGGUACCGGAAGAAUAUGAACCGGCUAACUACGUGCAAGCAGCCGCGGUAAUAC
rnacentral:rRNA from 1 species